GAGAAUCCUGGCCCUGGCCCCUUCGCUCCCUGUCAAGCAUCAGAGCCUGUUCAUUGGCUCUAACUUGGCAGGGGGCGGGGCCUCCCAGAGCAGCUGUCCGUCUUGAGCGGAGCCAGGCCCCGCCCCGUCGCGCCUGCGCAGUGCGUCCGUUGGCGCCAGGAGCCUGGGCUGUAGAGCAGUUGCAGUUCGGCAGGAACGCUGCUGUGCAGCGGCGAGUCUUGGGAACAGCAGCAGCAGCAGGCGGCGGCGGCGGAGCAGACGCGGGGACGGCGGCGUGCUUGGGGGUCUGCGGACGGCGGUCUCGAUGGCGGGCAGGGGUGAAAAGAAGUUAGAAGAAGAAAUCAACUAUUUUGCCCAAGCAUUUUGUUCAAUUUGGAAGACAUGACAUUGAGAAAAGAAUGGGGACUGUGGAGUUAGAAGUGGAGUCAGUAUGGCCUUUCAGUGAGUGGAUAUUGAAAGGAAAAACCCGGCCCAAACACAGAAUGAGAAACACACCAGGAGACAAAGGCUCAACCCUGACGUAUUAAGAAGGCAAGAUGGACAGGUGGGCUGCUCUCUCGAAAGUGGGAGCAGCAGCAGGGAGAGUUGGAGUGGGCCCUUUAUAUCCCGUUAAGGAACACCCCAGAAACACAGGAAGCAGCAGCAAGAGAUGGCGUGUCCUCCCAGAGUGGAGACUGCUGCCCAUGCUGAGAGUGGAAAGUGGAACAUGCCUGGAGGGGUGACCCUCCUCAUGGGGACUUCUCAGUGUUGGUGGAGCUUCCUCUCCAGAGCAGCUCCAUGGCCUGUCUGGGGGUUGACUUUAGCAAUAAGAGCAGCAGCCCAUGCCGCUGACCAUCUGGGAGGGUAGGGAGUCCCCGUGACAGACCUUUCAAGUCCUUCUCCCCCAAUGACACCUCCAGGGCCCCUCCAGUCCCCACCCCAGUCUCUCUCUUCAGUAGCUUGCUCUGGGGACAGGUCAGAGGAAGUUUCUCCUGGUGUCUGGGGCUUGUGUAACAGGCAUCUGGGAACAGGAAGCUUAUGGGAAAGGAAGAACACAGGUGGUCCAGCUCUCUCAGAAGGGGCCUGGGUGUGAAUUCCUGUUCUACUACUUACUACCUAUGUCAUCUCUGAAAGGCUACUCAUCCCUCAUAGGCUUCAGUUGAUCUUUAAAAAGAAACUAAAAAGGGAGGACCGCUGCUGCUGGCCGGUCGUGGGGGGUGACCGCCACUUUGCCCCCGGCAGGAGAGGCUGCCUCACUUACAGGCAACAGCUUUGAAGUGUGGAGCAGGAAAAGAACUGUUUCUUAGCUGCAAAAGCGAGUCUCGAAACAGGGAACA